GCCCUGCUGGCGCAAUGGUAGCGCGCAAGACUUCUAACUCCGUCGUCCAUCUUUCUUCAUUCAAGAAGGAAAAAAAACGAAUAAAAAAGAGCGAUAUCUUGAGGUUGCGAGUUCGAGCCUCGCGUAGGGUU